GCAGUUCCCCAGGAAACAGCUUCCGGCAGACACUCAAUCUCCAGUUGUAACAGGUGGUGUGGAGUCCGCUGUCCCAGGGAGUGGGCUCAAGGCCUAGUCCUGCCAAUGAACUUGCUGUAGAAACUUUUCUGUCUAUCAAAUGAGCUUCUCCAUUUCCACCUUUGCAAACUCUGGACUCCAAGGACGCAAGAUGGCCGGAAACAAGAUGGUGGAGAUGGAGUCCCCCUCUGUCACCCAGGCUAGAGUGCAGCCUGAUUCUACAACUUGGCCAUGUGAUCCUGAGCAAAUUACAUUCCCGUUUCAGUUUUCCCUCUUCAACAACAACAAAAAAGCGUUGGAUUAAGUAAUGAUUAAAACUCCUUUCUGCUGGGCGCGGUGGCUCAUGCCUAUAAUCCCAGCACUUUGGGAGGCCGAGGCAGGCGGAUCACAAGGUCAGGAGUUCGAGACCAUCCUGGCUAAUAUGGUGAAACCCCAUCUCUACUAAAAAUACAGAAAAAUUAGCCUGUAGUCCCAGCUACUUGGGAGGCUGAGGCAGGAGAAUGGCGUAAAACCCGGGAGGCGGAGCUUGCGGUGAGCCGAGAUCGCGCCACUGCACUCCAGCCUGGGAGACAGAGCGAGACUCCGUCUCAAAAAAAAAAAAAAAAAA